AGCGAACGCUGGCGGCAGGCUUAACACAUGCAAGUCGAACGGUCCUUCGGGAUAGUGGCGGACGGGUGAGUAACACGUGGGAACGUACCCUUAGGUUCGGAACAACACAGGGAAACUUGUGCUAAUACCGGAUAAGCCCUUCGGGGGAAAGAUUUAUCGCCUUUGGAGCGGCCCGCGUCUGAUUAGCUUGUUGGUGAGGUAAUGGCUCACCGAGGCUACGAUCAGUAGCUGGUCUGAGAGGAUGGCCAGCCACACUGGGACUGAGGCACGGCCCAGACUCCUACGGGAGGCAGCAGUGGGGAAUCUUGCGCAAUGGGCGAAAGCCUGACGCAGCCAUGCCGCGUGGAUGAUGAAGGUCUUAGGAUUGUAAAAUCCUUUCACCGGGGACGAUAAUGACGGUACCCGGAGAAGAAGCCCCGGCUAACUUCGUGCCAGCAGCCGCCGUAA
rnacentral:rRNA from 1 species